rnacentral:rRNA from 1 species
UACAGAGGUCCCAAGCGUUGUUCGGAUUCACUGGGCGUAAAGGGUGCGUAGGUGGCGCUGUAAGUGGGGUGUGAAAUCCCGGGGCUUAACCCCGGGACUGCAUUCCAUACUGCGGUGCUUGAGGACUGGAGAGGAGACUGGAAUUUACGGUGUAGCAGUGAAAUGCGUAGAGAUCGUAAGGAAGACCAGUGGCGAAGGCGGGUCUCCGGACAGUUCCUGACACUGAGGCACGAAGGCCAGGGGAGCAAACGGG